rnacentral:rRNA from 1 species
GAUGAACGCUAGCGGCAGGCUUAAUACAUGCAAGUCGAGGGGCAGCACGGUUAGCAAUAACUGGUGGCGACCGGCGCACGGGUGCGUAACACGUAUACAAUCUACCUUAAACAGGGGAUAGCCUUUCGAAAGAGAGAUUAAUACCCCGUAAUAAAUUGAACGGCAUCGUUUGAUUUUGAAAGCUCCGGCGGUUUGAGAUGAGUAUGCGUCUGAUUAGCUAGUUGGUGAGGUAACGGCUCACCAAGGCGACGAUCAGUAGGGGAUCUGAGAGGACUAACCCCCACACUGGUACUGAGACACGGACCAGACUCCUACGGGAGGCAGCAGUAAGGAAUAUUGGUCAAUGGAGGCAACUCUGAACCAGCCAUGCCGCGUGCAGGAUGACGGCCCUAUGGGUUGUAAACUGCUUUUAUACAAGAGAAAACCCUGGUACGUGUACCAGGUUGAUAGUAUUGUAAGAUAAGCAUCGGCUAACUUCGUGCCAGCA